rnacentral:rRNA from 1 species
UACGUAGGAAGCAAGCGUUAUCCGGAUUUAUUGGGCGUAAAGCGGGCGUAGGUGGCCCUUCAAGUCUGAUGUGAAAUCUCCCGGCUUAACUGGGAGGGUGCAUCGGAAACUGCUGGGCUGGAGUGCAGCAGAGGAAAGCGGAAUUCCCGGUGUAGUGGUGAAAUGCGUAGAUAUCGGGAGGAACACUAGUGGCGAAGGCGGCUUUCUGGGCUGUAACUGACACUGAGGCCCGAAGGCGUGGGUAGCAAAC